GACCGCGUAGCUCAGUUGGCAGAGCAUUCGGCUAGUUAGCUAGUAUUCCAAAGGAUGUAGGUUCGAUUCCUAUCGUGCCCA